GCACUGAAAGGAGAGUAAUUCUACCUUUAUUUAUAUAUUUGUGAAUGUACUUUUAAGUCCAUCUUUUAGUAGAUUUUAAAUCUAAUAGCCGAACAAAAUUAUUAUUGUAACUCGCCUUACAUUCUUACUUAUUGGCUGCACUUUGAUUUGUAAUAUUCCUAUAAUGGAAAUAGAAUUUACCUUUAGGUAAAUCCUAGACAACGGUAUACAAGCUAUAAAAGUAAGUAACGAUUACUUGGUGGUUGUCAAUUACAUGGUAAGUUCCCCUAAAAUACUUCUUUCAGCCGCCAUAAUAUUUAAGUUUGGACCAUCUAAAUAGUAGUAAUCCUUGUUUGAUUUAGUUUAAUUUCCUUAUAACUGGGUAUCUAAUCCAGGUUUAUGUUUAAGAAUUUAGUAUUAUUACUAAUAGAUGUUAGACUUAGAAAUUAGUAGUAUUUCACCACACAGUAACUUUUUCUGUACAUAUAAACAAAACAAAUACUAUAAAUUUAUCUAUUAGGUAUGACCGCGGUUGCUGGCACCUAAUACACCAAGAUUACACAGAUAACUAAAUUUAAAUUUCCUUAAUUUAUUAAAACUUUUAACUGAGAAGUUUAUUUAAAGCUCAUAUUAAAUCAGACUGCACACUUACAGUACCAUCAUAUUAAAGUGGUAGGACUCUAAGGGGGAAUUUACACCAUUUUAGA
rnacentral:rRNA from 1 species